AAGUCGUAACAAGGUCUUCGUAGGUGAACCUGCGGAGGGAUCAUUAGUGAUUUCCAGGGGAGUCCCUCUUCAUCAGAGAAGGCCCCGUCACUAUACCUUACACUUGUGCAUUGUCCUUUUUUUUUUUACUCUGUGUAUUCGAAGCCGUCUUGUGAUAAAACCUUUGAUAAACGAAAAAAAAACUUUCAGCAAUGGAUCUCUUGGCUCUC
rnacentral:misc_RNA from 1 species